GAUGAACGCUGGCGGCGUGCCUAAUACAUGCAAGUCGAGCGAACAGACGAGGAGCUUGCUCCUCUGACGUUAGCGGCGGACGGGUGAGUAACACGUGGAUAACCUCCCUAUAAGACUGGGAUAACUUCGGGAAACCGGAGCUAAUACCGGAUAAUAUAUUGAACCGCAUGGUUCAAUAGUGAAAGACGGUUUUGCUGUCACUUAUAGAUGGAUCCGCGCCGCAUUAGCUAGUUGGUAAGGUAACGGCUUACCAAGGCAACGAUGCGUAGCCGACCUGAGAGGGUGGUCCGGCACACGGGAACGGAGAAGCGGUCCAGACUCCUACGGGGGGCAGCAGUAGGGAAUCCUCCGCGAGGGGGGAAAGCCUGACGGAGCAACGCCGCGUGAGUGAUGAAGGUCUUCGGAUCGUAAAACUCUGUUAUUAGGGAAGAACAAACGUGUAAGUAACUAUGCACGUCUUGACGGUACCUAAUCAGAAAGCCACGGCUAACUACGUG
rnacentral:rRNA from 1 species